GCAGUUUGAAUUCUGCGGUUGCACGUUGACGGUGGAGGCGUAGAUUUCAGGUCACACUUCAGUUCGAGUAGGUUCGUAGUUCGACCUACUGGUUGUAUAUGAUGUAUAUAGAAGUCGCUCUGAAUAUUUAUGUUAUGUUUUCAGUUGAGUUUACUCCUGAAUGUUUUUCUGGGUUUCUUGUAAACCUUAUGGUUUGUUAUAUAUGAUGUUGAGAAAUCUGGAUGGGGAACGGAGCCCCACAGUUUGGCUUUUGUGGAAUAUUCGAAAUGUGAUUAUCUUUGCAGGUUCUAAUUUUAGCUCACGUAUUUCAAAGUAAACUCUGGCGAAAUUUUUUUAAGGUCAUGUUUUCGAAGGGGUUUGAUUUCAGUUUAGGCAACUAAAUCGAAAUCGGGUCCUUUCAGACAGUAGGCACGCAAAUUAUCUAAUCCCGACACCAGGAGGUAGUGACAAUAAAUAACAAUACCGAGCUCUAUGAGUUUGGUAAUUGGAAUGAGUACAAUCUAAAUCCCUUAACUAGGAUUCUUUGGAGGGCAAGUCCGUUUCUAGCAGCUACAGGAAUUCCAACUCCAAUAAUAUAUAUUUAAGCUGUUGUAGUUAAAAAGCUCGUAGUUGGACCUUGGGUUGGGUCGAUAGGUCUGUCUUUCAGUUUGCACCGGUCAACUCGUCCCUUCUACUGGUGAUAAGCUCUUGGCCUUAAUUGGCCGGGUUGUGCCUCCAGUGCUAUUACUUUGAAAAAUUAGAGUGCUAAAAGCAAGCCUAUGCUCUGGAUACAUUAGCAUGGGAUAACAUCAUAGGAUUUCGGUCCUAUUUUGUUGGCCUUCGGGAUCGGAGUAAUGAUUAAUAGGGACAGUUGAGGGCAUUCGUAUUUCAUAGUUAAAAGUGAAAUUCUUGGAUUUAUGAAAGACGAACAACCGCGAAAGUUGGGGCUCAAGAACAAAAGUUGGGGCUCGAAGAUGAUCAGAUACUGUCCUAGUCUCAACCAUAAACGAUGCCGACCAGAGAUCGGCGGAUGUUACUUUUAGGUCUUUGCCAACACCUUAUGAGAAAUCAAAGUUUUUGGGUUCCAGAGGGAGUAUGGCCGCAAGGCUAAAACUUAAAGGAAUUGACAGAAGGGCACCACCAGGAGUGGAACCUGUGGCUUAUUUUGACUCAACAUAGAGAAACUUACUAGGUCAAGACAUAGUAAGGAUUGACAGACUAAGAGCUCUUUCUUGAUUCUAUGGGUGGUGGUGCAUGGUCGUUCUUAGUUGGUGGAGCGAUUUGUCUGGUUAAUUUUGUUAAUCAACGAGACCUCAGCCUACUAACUAACUAUGCAGAGGUUUCCUCCGUUGCCAGCUUCUUAGAGGGACUAUGGUCACUUAAGCCAAGGAAUUUUGAGGCAAUAACAAGUAUGUGAUGACCUUAGAUAUUCUGGGCUGCAUGCACGCUAAACUGAUGUAUUCAACGAGUUUAUAGCCUUGACCGACAUGCCCGGGGAAUCUUUGAAAUUUCAGCAUAAUGGGGAUAGAUCAUUGCAAUUGUUGGUCUUCAACGAGGAAUUCGUUGUAAGCGCAAGUCAUCAGCUCGCGUUGACUACGUCUCUUCCUUUUGUACACAACUCCCGUCUCUCCUAUCGAUUGAAUGGUCCAGUGAAGUUUUUGGAUUAGGACGACAUGGGGGGGGGGGGUUAAUUGUCCAUAAAGUUGCGAGAAGUUCACUGAACCUUAUCAUUUAGAGGAAGGAGAAUUCGUAACAAGGUUUCCGUAGGUGAACUUGCAGAAG
rnacentral:rRNA from 1 species